GAUGAACGCUGGCGGCGUGCCUAAUACAUGCAAGUCGAGCGAACAGACGAGGAGCUUGCUCCUUUGACGUUAGCGGCGGACGGGUGAGUAACACGUGGGUAACCUACCUAUAAGACUGGGAUAACUUCGGGAAACCGGAGCUAAUACCGGAUAAUAUUUCGAACCGCAUGGUUCGAUAGUGAAAGAUGGCUUUGCUAUCACUUAUAGAUGGACCUGCGCCGUAUUAGCUAGUUGGUAAGGUAACGGCUUACCAAGGCAACGAUACGUAGCCGACCUGAGAGGGUGAUCGGCCACACUGGAACUGAGGCACGGUCCAGACUCCUACGGGAGGCAGCAGUAGGGAAUCUUCCGCAAUGGGCGAAAGCCUGACGGAGCAACGCCGCGUGAGUGAUGAAGGUCUUCGGAUCGUAAAACUCUGUUAUUAGGGAAGAACAAACGUGUAAGUAACUGUGCACGUCUUGACGGUACCUAAUCAGAAAGCCACGGCUAACUACGUGCCAGCAGCCGCGGUAAUACGUAGGUGGCAAGCGUUAUCCGGAAUUAUUGGGCGUAAAGCGCGCGUAGGCGGUUUUUUAAGUCUGAUGUGAAAGCCCACGGCUCAACCGUGGAGGGUCAUUGGAAACUGGAAAACUUGAGUGCAGAAGAGGAAAGUGGAAUUCCAUGUGUAGCGGUGAAAUGCGCAGAGAUAUGGAGGAACACCAGUGGCGAAGGCGACUUUCUGGUCUGUAACUGACGCUGAUGUGCGAAAGCGUGGGGAUCAAACAGGAUUAGAUACCCUGGUAGUCCACGCCGUAAACGAUGAGUGCUAAGUGUUAGGGGGUUUCCGCCCCUUAGUGCUGCAGCUAACGCAUUAAGCACUCCGCCUGGGGAGUACGACCGCAAGGUUGAAACUCAAAGGAAUUGACGGGGACCCGCACAAGCGGUGGAGCAUGUGGUUUAAUUCGAAGCAACGCGAAGAACCUUACCAAAUCUUGACAUCCUUUGACCCUUCUAGAGAUAGAAGUUUCCCCUUCGGGGGACAAAGUGACAGGUGGUGCAUGGUUGUCGUCAGCUCGUGUCGUGAGAUGUUGGGUUAAGUCCCGCAACGAGCGCAACCCUUAAGCUUAGUUGCCAUCAUUAAGUUGGGCACUCUAAGUUGACUGCCGGUGACAAACCGGAGGAAGGUGGGGAUGACGUCAAAUCAUCAUGCCCCUUAUGAUUUGGGCUACACACGUGCUACAAUGGACAAUACAAAGGGCAGCGAAACCGCGAGGUCAAGCAAAUCCCAUAAAGUUGUUCUCAGUUCGGAUUGUAGUCUGCAACUCGGCUACAUGAAGCUGGAAUCGCUAGUAAUCGUAGAUCAGCAUGCUACGGUGAAUAAGUUCCCGGGUCU
rnacentral:rRNA from 1 species